UACGGAGGAUGCAAGCGUUAUCCGGAAUGAUUGGGCGUAAAGCGUCCGCAGGUGGCUGUGUAAGUCUGCUGUUAAAGAGUCUAGCUCAACUAGAUACAAGCAGUGGAAACUACACGGCUAGAGUACGUUCGGGGCAGAGGGAAUUCCUGGUGUAGCGGUGAAAUGCGCAGAGAUCAGGAAGAACACCGGUGGCGAAGGCGCUCUGCUAGGCCGUAACUGACACUGAGGGACGAAAGCUAGGGGAGCGAAUGGG
rnacentral:rRNA from 1 species